UGGCGGGGGGCGGGGUGUGGGGAGCCACUGGCGGGAAGACAGGGAGGGAGAGCGCGUCUGGGGAGUGUGCGCCCAAGGCCAGAGGCACCCGAGGUGGGCUGGCCCGGGGUGGAAAGCUGGGCCGAGCCCCUGGAGCGGGCGGAACGGCGAGCCAGAUUCAGGAAGUUGUGCCUGUGACAUCAGGGGCAGGACAGAGUUGGAGCGAAACCUCAACUAUGCAAGGCGUCGGCCCGCAGGAGGGCAGGGAACACAGAGGGCGCUGUCCUCGGCUGCAGCGGCAGGUACGCGCGGCGGCGGGGCGGGGCGGGGCGGGCUGCUCCCACGACCUCGGCUGACGCCGGGGCCCUACACGCCAGACCCGGCUAGCAGUGGGAGUGCAGAGGCAACCAAAAAGGAACCCACACCUCGCUCCAGGGCCCGGGGCGCUGUCAGACGGGGCAGCACCCAGGAGAUUCCCUGGGCAACCACGCCUGCAGGAAGCCCUUCCGCGGACCGAAAGACUGGGCAGUGAUCAGGAUCUGAAUGCACAGGGCUGGUGUUCAGCGAUUGUUUACUACGUUGAACGUGACCUCCAGAAAAGCAGUUCUGGCCGAGAUCCCCUGACAACACAGAAGAAGAAGUAACGUGGAAGGAGGCUCCCCAAGCUGGCCAUUGUGCUGCUGUGUGUGGAGGUAAACUUCUUCCCCCCUCUCCUCACCCAUGAUUCAUUCCCUCAUUUAGCACAUGGCUCCUGUGCUCAUAAACGAAGGUCGGCUGCUCAACUUGCUUAUGCAAUGGGUCUCAAACCUGACAAUUGUCCAGAAACACUCGGGCUGCUUGCUACAAACAUAAAUUCCUGGGCCCAUCCUAGACCCGACUGAAUCAGGGUCUCCAGGAACAGGAUGCAGGAAUCUGUAUUUUUAACUGCUUAAAUGACUCUUCGUAGCCAACAGUCCAUCCUGCUGUCACCUGGGAUCCUGGGCAGAGGAGCUAAAGCAAGCACAGUGAUCAGCGCAACCCAAGGCAGAAAACUCAAUGGAGCUAUUUGAGCAAAGGCCCAAGGGGAGGUCUUUGCUCCCAGCUGUCAGUUAUAAAAUGGCCCCCCUCACAAAUCCAGGAGUCAGCAGCCGCAGAAGAGGGGCCUGUUAAGGUUCUCAUAGAGAACUGAACCUCCCACCUCCCCCUACAAGAAGGGGACAAUUUGUACCAUUUGGAGGUCACUCUGGAGUUGGUCUCAGGGAUUCUAAUUGGGUGCCAAUGUGAUCCUUAUUAUUAACCUUUCCAGAAAAUAUUUACUGUCUCACAGACACUGUUCUAGAGCUUUACAUGUAUUAUUUUAUCUAACAAACAAGAACAGUGAGAGGCUGAUGCAGAAUAGAAUGUCCUGCUCCCUUCUUGGAGAGCACUGGAAAGAACAGUAGUGUCAGGACCAGCCCUGAACAUAGCCUGCAGUAGCUUUUGGCUCUCAGAGAUUGAAGCAGACCUCCCUGUGGAAUGACCCACCCCUGUAACACUUCCAAGGGUCCCAAAGC
rnacentral:lncRNA from 1 species